GAUGAAUGCAUCCUGGCUCACAAGAUGAGUGAGGCACUAAACUCAUGUGUGUCGAACUGGUGUCAAGGGCUUUGGAUGUUGCCACAAAGCUCAUCACACCUUAGUGAUUCGACCAACUGCUGGAGGAGCUGAAGAUCGCUAGUCUGCCAUCACCAUUGGUCUGAAGGAAGCAGUGCCAUGGGGGAAGGGAGAAAAGUUAGCCUCAGAUGAGAGCAGAGUAAAGUGCACCAAGAGACUAUAAAGUAAUGUGCAGACCAAAACAAAAAAUACUAUCACUUGAAAAAUCUUGAAUUAUAAAAUGUUAUUCAGCAGUAAUGAAAACAUCAGGGAUGUCACCUUAGGAUACUAAUGCAAGAAUGAAAUGAAGACAUAAAUCAUUUCCCAAUAUACAUACACAUAUGCAGGCAUGAUAAAAAUAGCAAAACCUAAAGAAAGAAAGAAAGAAAAAAGAAGAAUGAAAGGAAAGAAUUAAUGAAUGAAAAAGGAAGAAAAGAAAGAGAAAGACAAAGAAAGAAAAUGAUGAAAUAAAGAUGGUGAAAAAAUUUCUAAGAUAGAAAAACAAUGAAAUAAUGAACAGGAGGAAGAUAAAAGGAACAGCAAAGAAAGAAAUAUAAUAAAUGAAAAGAAGGGAGAAAAAAGAAAACAAAAUAGAAAUAAAUAUACAUAAUGA